UACGUAGGGGGCAAGCGUUGUCCGGAAUCAUUGGGCGUAAAGCGCGUGUAGGCGGCUCGAUAAGUCCGCUGUGAAAGUCCAGGGCUCAACCCUGGAAUGCCGGUGGAAACUGUCGGGCUAGAGUCCGGAAGAGGCGAGUGGAAUUCCUGGUGUAGCGGUGAAAUGCGCAGAUAUCAGGAGGAACACCAAUGGCGAAGGCAGCUCGCUGGGACGGUACUGACGCUGAGGAGCGAAAGCGUGGGUAGCAAACAGG
rnacentral:rRNA from 1 species